rnacentral:rRNA from 1 species
AUUGAACGCUGGCGGCAGGCCUAACACAUGCAAUUCGAGCGAGCGGCGGACGGGUGAGUAAUGUAUGGGGACUGCCCGAUAGAGGGGGAUAACUACUGGAAACGGUGGCUAAUACCGCAUACUAUCGGAUAACCCAUAUGGGAUUAGCUAGUAGGUGGGGUAAAGGCUCACCUAGGCGACGAUCUCUAGCUGGUCUGCGAGGAUGCUCAGCCAUACUGGGACUGAGACACGGCCCAGACUCCAAGGGAGGCAGCAGGGGGGAAUAUUGCACAAGGGGCGCAAGCCUGAUGCAGCAAUGACGCGUGUAUGAAGAAGGCCUUAGGGUUGUAAAGUACUUUAAGCGGGGAGGCGUUAACCGAAGAAGAAGCACAGGCUAACUCUGUGCCAGAAGCAGAGGUAAUAC